GCCUUCGUGGUGUAGUGGUCAGCACUCUCGGCCCAUAUUCGAAAGGUCCGUGGUUCGAGUCCCGGCGAGGUUA
rnacentral:tRNA from 1 species